UACGGAGGAUGCAAGCGUUAUCCGGAAUUAUUGGGCGUAAAGCGUCCGUAGGUGGCUGAAUAAGUCUGCUGUCAAAGCGUGCGGCUUAACCGCAUCCAGGCAGUGGAAACUAUUGAGCUAGAGUGCGAUAGGGGUCACAGGAAUUCCCAGUGUAGCGGUGAAAUGCGUAGAUAUUGGGAAGAACACCAGCGGCGAAAGCGUGUGACUGGGUCUGCACUGACACUGAGGGACGAAAGCUAGGGGAGCGAAAGGG
rnacentral:rRNA from 1 species